rnacentral:rRNA from 1 species
AAUGCGUUCCCGGGCCUUGUACACACCGCCCGUCACACCACGAAAGUCGGCGACACCCGAAGCCGGUGGCCCAACCCUUUUGGGGGGGAGCCGUCGAAGGUGGGGUUGGCGAUUGGGGUG